AUUGAACGCUGGCGGCAGGCCUAACACAUGCAAGUCGAGCGGAUGAAGGGAGCUUGCUCCUGGAUUCAGCGGCGGACGGGUGAGUAAUGCCUAGGAAUCUGCCUGGUAGUGGGGGAUAACGUCCGGAAACGGGCGCUAAUACCGCAUACGUCCUGAGGGAGAAAGUGGGGGAUCUUCGGACCUCACGCUAUCAGAUGAGCCUAGGUCGGAUUAGCUAGUUGGUGGGGUAAAGGCCUACCAAGGCGACGAUCCGUAACUGGUCUGAGAGGAUGAUCAGUCACACUGGAACUGAGACACGGUCCAGACUCCGACGGGAGGCAGCAGUGGGGAAUAUUGGACAAUGGGCGAAAGCCUGAUCCAGCCAUGCCGCGUGUGUGAAGAAGGUCUUCGGAUUGUAAAGCACUUUAAGUUGGGAGGAAGGGCAGUAAGUUAAUACCUUGCUGUUGUGACGUUACCAACAGAAUAAGCACCGGCUAACUUCG
rnacentral:rRNA from 1 species